rnacentral:rRNA from 1 species
UACGGAGGGUGCAAGCGUUGUUCGGAAUUAUUGGGCGUAAAGGGCGUGUAGGCUGUGGUGCAAGUCGGACGUGAAAUCCCUCGGCUUAACUGAGGAACUGCGCUCGAAACUGCAUCGCUAGAGUACCGGAGAGGGUAGGGGAAUUCCCAGUGUAGAGGUGAAAUUCGUAGAUAUUGGGAGGAACACCGGUGGCGAAGGCGCCUACCUGGACGAGUACUGACGCUGAGACGCGAAAGCGUGGGUAGCAAACAGG